rnacentral:rRNA from 1 species
UACAGCGGUCGCAAGCGUUGUUCGGAAUUACUGGGCGUAAAGGGCGCGUAGGCGGCCAUCUAAGUCAGACGUGAAAUCCCCCGGCUUAACCUGGGAACUGCGUCUGAUACUGGACGGCUGGAGUUUGGGAGAGGGAUGUAGAAUUCCAGGUGUAGCGGUGAAAUGCGUAGAUAUCUGGAGGAAUACCGGUGGCGAAGGCGGCAUCCUGGACCAAUACUGACGCUGAGGCGCGAAAGCUAGGGGAGCAAACAGG